CGUGUAGGCGGCUUGGUAGGUCCGCUGUGAAAACUCGAGGCUUAACCUCGAGAUGUCGGCGGAAACCACCUGGCUAGAGUCCGGAAGAGGAGAGUGGAAUUCCCGGUGUAGCGGUGAAAUGCGCAGAUAUCGGGAAGAACACCUAUGGCGAAGGCAGCUCUCUGGGACGGUACUGACGCUGAGACGCGAAAGCGUGGGGAGCGAACA
rnacentral:rRNA from 1 species